rnacentral:rRNA from 1 species
UACAGAGGGGGCUAGCGUUGUUCGGAAUUACUGGGCGUAAAGGGCGCGUAGGCGGCCCUCUAAGUCGAACGUGAAAUCCCCGGGCUCAACCCGGGAACUGCGUCCGAUACUGGAGGGCUCGAAUCCGGGAGAGGGAUGUGGAAUUCCAGGUGUAGCGGUGAAAUGCGUAGAUAUCGGGAGGAACACCAGUGGCGAAGGCGACUACCUGGCCUGUUCUUGACGCUGAGGCGCGAAAGCUAGGGGAGCAAACGGG